AGAGUUUGAUCAUGGCUCAGGACGAACGCUGGCGGCGUGCUUAACACAUGCAAGUCGAACGGAAAGGCCCUGCUUUUGUGGGGUGCUCGAGUGGCGAACGGGUGAGUAACACGUGAGUAACCUGCCCUUGACUUUGGGAUAACUUCAGGAAACUGGGGCUAAUACCGGAUAGGAGCUCCUGCUGCAUGGUGGGGGUUGGAAAGUUUCGGCGGUUGGGGAUGGACUCGCGGCUUAUCAGCUUGUUGGUGGGGUAGUGGCUUACCAAGGCUUUGACGGGUAGCCGGCCUGAGAGGGUGACCGGCCACAUUGGGACUGAGAUACGGCCCAGACUCCUACGGGAGGCAGCAGUGGGGAAUAUUGCACAAUGGGCGGAAGCCUGAUGCAGCAACGCCGCGUGCGGGAUGACGGCCUUCGGGUUGUAAACCGCUUUCGCCUGUGACGAAGCGUGAGUGACGGUAAUGGGUAAAGAAGCACCGGCUAACUACGUGCCAGCAGCCGCGGUGAUACGUAGGGUGCGAGCGUUGUCCGGAUUUAUUGGGCGUAAAGGGCUCGUAGGUGGUUGAUUGCGUCGGAAGUGUAAUCUUGGGGCUUAACCCUGAGCGUGCUUUCGAUACGGGUUGACUUGAGGAAGGUAGGGGAGAAUGGAAUUCCUGGUGGAGCGGUGGAAUGCGCAGAUAUCAGGAGGUACACCAGUGGCGAAGGCGGUUCUCUGGGCCUUUCCUGACGCUGAGGAGCGAAAGCGUGGGGAGCGAACAGGCUUAGAUACCCUGGUAGUCCACGCUGUAAACGGUGGGUACUAGGUGUGG
rnacentral:rRNA from 1 species